UGACGAGUGGCGGACGGGUGAGUAAUGUCUGGGAAACUGCCUGAUGGAGGGGGAUAACCACUGGAAACGGUGGCUAAUACCGCAUAACGUCGCAAGACCAAAGAGGGGGACCUUCGGGCCUCUUGCCAUCAGAUGUGCCCAGAUGGGAUUAGCUAGUAGGUGAGGUAAUGGCUCACCUAGGCGACGAUCCCUAGCUGGUCUGAGAGGAUGACCAGCCACACUGGAACUGAGACACGGUCCAGACUCCUACGGGAGGCAGCAGUGGGGAAUAUUGGACAAUGGGCGAAAGCCUGAUCCAGCCAUGCCGCGUGUGUGAAGAAGGUCUUCGGAUUGUAAAGCACUUUAAGUUGGGAGGAAGGGCAUUAACCUAAUACGUUAGUGUUUUGACGUUACCGACAGAAUAAGCACCGGCUAACUCUGUGCCAGCAGCCGCGGUAAUACAGAGGGUGCAAGCGUUAAUCGGAAUUACUGGGCGUAAAGCGCGCGUAGGUGGUUUGUUAAGUUGGAUGUGAAAUCCCCGGGCUCAACCUGGGAACUGCAUUCGAAACUGGCAGGCUAGAGUCUUGUAGAGGGGGGUAGAAUUCCAGGUGUAGCGGUGAAAUGCGUAGAGAUCUGGAGGAAUACCGGUGGCGAAGGCGGCCCCCUGGACAAAGACUGACGCUCAGGUGCGAAAGCGUGGGGAGCAAACAGGAUUAGAUACCCUGGUAGUCC
rnacentral:rRNA from 1 species